AUUGAACGCUGGCGGCAGGCCUAACACAUGCAAGUCGAGCGGAUGAAGGGAGCUUGCUCCUGGAUUCAGCGGCGGACGGGUGAGUAAUGCCUAGGAAUCUGCCUGGUAGUGGGGGAUAACGUCCGGAAACGGGCGCUAAUACCGCAUACGUCCUGAGGGAGAAAGUGGGGGAUCUUCGGACCUCACGCUAUCAGAUGAGCCUAGGUCGGAUUAGCUAGUUGGUGGGGUAAAGGCCUACCAAGGCGACGAUCCGUAACUGGUCUGAGAGGAUGAUCAGUCACACUGGAACUGAGACACGGUCCAGACUCCUACGGGAGGCAGCAGUGGGGAAUAUUGGACAAUGUGCGAAAGCCUGAUCCAGCCAUGCCGCGUGCGUGAAGAAGGUCUUCGGAUUGUAAAGCACUUUAAGUUGGGAGGAAGGGCAGUAAGUUAAUACCUUGCUGUUUUGACGUUACCAACAGAAUAAGCACCGGCUAACUUCGUG
rnacentral:rRNA from 1 species